AAAAUGGUUUGUAAUGGUUACAUAAUAAAUUGCUGUGAGAUUAACAAUUGGAGGAAAAGUCUGGUGCCAGCACCCGCGGUAAUUCCAGCUCCAAUAGUGUAUUCUAAAGUUGUUGUAGUUAAAACGCUCGUAUUUUAUUUUGGAGUAUUUGGGUUCAAGUCAGUUAUUCUUCACUUUAUUAUUGAAGAGUUAUUACGUUUUGAUAAUGAGGUAUCGGCAAUUUUGUCGGUUGGUUGGGUAACUUUUAGCUUAUCCUGGAGUGUUCAAGGAUAUUGUCCUUGACAUUUUAGAGGGCGACGUGAAUGGUGAAUAUUUUAUAUUAAAGUCACUUCAUUUUGGGGUGACAUUAUAACUGCGAAUAAAUCAAAGUGCUUCAAACAUGCAAUGAUUAAAAAAUUGUAUGAAUGACUUAGCGUGGUAUUAGUGAUUAGUUUUUUCUUUGGAGAAGCGUACAAAAAGGGAUUAGGUGUAGGGUUCAAGAAUUGCUUUGUCAGAGGUGAAAUUCAGAAAACGAAGCAGGACUACCAGAUGCGAAAGCGGUUAUCUUACCCGCCACCCAUCCAUCAAUGAGGAACGAAAGUUAGGGGAUCGAAAAUGAUUAGAUACCAUUGUAGUCCUAACCGUAAACUAUGCCGACAGAGGAUUGAGGUAAAACCUUUUCCAGAUUCCCCCAGCACUCAAAGGAAACUGAAAGUUUUUGGGUUCUAGGGGGAGUAUAGUCGCAAGGCCGAAACUUAAAAGAAUUGACGGAAGAGCACCACCAGGAGUGGAAUUUGCGGCUUAAUUCGACUCAACACGGGAAAACUCACCAGGUCCGGACGAUUGUAUGAUUGACAGGUUAAAGACCUUUCUUGAUUAUUUGUAUGGUGGUGCAUGGCCGUUCUUAGUUCGUGGAGUGGUUUGUCAGGUUGAUUCCGAUAACGAACGAGACCUUAGCUUACUAACUAUGUUGUCAGCGGGUUAAACUGCUAGUUUCAUUUGAAACUGACAAUACAAACCUUUUUAACGGGUUUCGCUUCUUAGAAGGACAAUGUUGCGUUUUAAUAAAUAAAUUAGCUCGGGGAGGUUGAAGGCGAUAACAGGUCUGUGAUGCCCUUAAAUGUUCUGGGCUGCACGCGUAUUACACUGUUAAUUACGACAAGUUUUUUAAUUUAAUUUAGCUUUGGCUAGGUUGAAUCCCUUCACUAUAAAAAGUGUGGGAAAUCUUAUCAAUAUUUAACGUGAUUGGGAUAGACGCUUGAAAUUUCGUCUUGAACGAGGAAUUCCUAGUAGAUUCAAUUCACUAAUUUGAAUCGAUUACGUCCCUGCUCUUUGUACACACCGCCCGUCGCUCCUACCGAUGGAAUGAAGAGGUGAAUUUGAAGGACUUGAUCUCAUCAUUCGACUGAUUGGAAAUUCAUUUAAACCUCUUUGUUUGUAGGAAGGAGAAGUCGUAACAAGGUCUUCGUAGGUGAACCUGCGAAGG
rnacentral:rRNA from 1 species